rfam:Clostridium kluyveri DSM 555, complete genome.
UACAUUCUGAAAUAUACGCAAGCUUUUGUUUUGAACUACAUUAUUUAAACGGAAGUUCAAUAUUUAGAUGGGUACAUGUAUCCUCUACUAGUUCUUAAAUAUGAGGAAGAUGAAUACAUCUGUGAGGACAUCCACCUGUAGUUAUAUAGGUGUCAAAAUAAAGUUUAGCGGUAUUUUGGAUAAGUG